rnacentral:siRNA from 1 species
AUUUUUGGAUGUAUUAGGUGCGCU